rnacentral:rRNA from 1 species
GGAAUGGCGGCUGCCCUUAACAUGCAGUCGAACGGCAGCACGGGUGCUUGCACCUGGUGGCGAGUGGCGAACGGGUGAGUAAUACAUCGGAAUGUACCUUGUAGUGGGGGAUAGCUCGGCGAAAGCCGGAUUAAUACCGCAUACGCUCUGAGGAGGAAAGCGGGGGACCUUCGGGCCUCGCGCUACAAGAGCAGCCGAUGUCAGAUUAGCUAGUUGGUGGGGUAAAAGCUCACCAAGGCGACGAUCUGUAGCUGGUCUGAGAGGACGACCAGCCACACUGGGACUGAGACACGGCCCAGACUCCUACGGGAGGCAGCAGUGGGGAAUUUUGGACAAUGGGCGAAAGCCUGAUCCAGCAAUGCCGCGUGUGUGAAGAAGGCCUUCGGGUUGUAAAGCACUUUUGUCCGGAAAGAAAUCCUCUGGGUUAAUACCUCGGGGGGAUGACGGUACCGGAAGAAUAAGCACCGGCUAACUACGUGCCAGCAGCCGCGGUAAUACGUAGGGUGCAAGCGUUAAUCGGAAUUACUGGGCGUAAAGCGUGCGCAGGCGGUUUUGUAAGACGGAUGUGAAAUCCCCGGGCUUAACCUGGGAACUGCAUUCGUGACUGCAAGGCUAGAGUAUGGCAGAGGGGGGUAGAAUUCCACGUGUAGCAGUGAAAUGCGUAGAGAUGUGGAGGAAUACCGAUGGCGAAGGCAGCCCCCUGGGCCAAUACUGACGCUCAUGCACGAAAGCGUGGGGAGCAAACAGGAUUAGAUACCCUGGUAGUCCACGCCCUAAACGAUGUCAACUAGUUGUUGGGGAUUCAUUUCCUUAGUAACGAAGCUAACGCGUGAAGUUGACCGCCUGGGGAGUACGGUCGCAAGAUUAAAACUCAAAGGAAUUGACGGGGACCCGCACAAGCGGUGGAUGAUGUGGAUUAAUUCGAUGCAACGCGAAAAACCUUACCUACCCUUGACAUGUACGGAAUCCUGCUGAGAGGUGGGAGUGCUCGAAAGAGAGCGUAACACAGUGCUGCAUGGCUGUCGUCAGCUCGUGUCGUGAGAUGAUGGGUAAGUCCCGCAACGAGCGCAACCCUGUUCUUAGUUGCUACGCAGAGCACUCUAGGAGACUGCGAUGACAACGGAGAUGGUGGGGAAUGACGUCAGUCUCAUGCCUUAUGGCUAGGGCUCAACGUCAUACAAUGUCGGUUACGAAGGGCUGCCAACCCCAAGCUUGA